rnacentral:rRNA from 1 species
AUUGAACGCUAGCGGGAUGCUUUACACAUGCAAGUCGAACGGCAGCGUGGACUUCGGUCUGGCGGCGAGUGGCGAACGGGUGAGUAAUGUAUCGGAACGUGCCCAGUAGCGGGGGAUAACUACGCGAAAGCGUAGCUAAUACCGCAUACGCCCUACGGGGGAAAGCAGGGGAUCGUAAGACCUUGCACUAUUGGAGCGGCCGAUAUCGGAUUAGCUAGUUGGUGAGGUAACGGCUCACCAAGGCGACGAUCCGUAGCUGGUUUGAGAGGACGACCAGCCACACUGGGACUGAGACACGGCCCAGACUCCUACGGGAGGCAGCAGUGGGGAAUUUUGGACAAUGGGGGCAACCCUGAUCCAGCCAUCCCGCGUGUGCGAUGAAGGCCUUCGGGUUGUAAAGCACUUUUGGCAGGAAAGAAACGUCGCGGGCUAAUACCCCGUGGAACUGACGGUACCUGCAGAAUAAGCACCGGCUAACUACGUG